CCUACGGGAGGCAGCAGUGAGGAAUAUUGGUCAAUGGGCGAGAGCCUGAACCAGCCAAGUCGCGUGAAGGAUGACGGCCCUACGGGUUGUAAACUUCUUUUGUCAGGGAGCAAUUUGGUCCACGCGUGGGCUUCGCGAGAGUACCUGCAGAAAAAGCAUCGGCUAACUCCGUGCCAGCAGCCGCGGUAAUACGGAGGAUGCGAGCGUUAUCCGGAUUUAUUGGGUUUAAAGGGUGCGUAGGCGGAAUAUCAAGUCAGCGGUAAAAAUUCGGGGCUCAACCCCGUCGUGCCGUUGAAACUGAUGGUCUUGAGUGGGCGAGAAGUAUGCGGAAUGCGUGGUGUAGCGGUGAAAUGCGUAGAUAUAUGGAAGAACACCAGUGGCGAAAGCGGCUCUCUGGGCUGUAACUGACGCUGAGGUUCGAAAGCGUGGGUAGCAAACAGGAUUAGAUACCCCUGUAGUC
rnacentral:rRNA from 1 species